rnacentral:lncRNA from 1 species
CUUCCAUGAUACCAUCCGGACUUCUCCGAUAAUGAACUCCUCCAUUCACAUACCGGAUUGCUCCAAAUGCUCAUCGGGCUCCAUUAUCAGCUGACUUUCUACAGUGGUUGGCUACCCUCUGAAUCUCUUCCAGACUUCCUCCUGCCAGAGCGACUUUACUCCGAACUUCUUUCAGACUUCGUCAAUGUCCGAGCUUCUCCAACAAUAGGACUUCUACAGUAACCAGACUCCAUCCAAAUUUCUACGGUGGUCGACCACCUUUCGAAUUUCAUCCGAGCUCC